rnacentral:rRNA from 1 species
GAUGAACGCUGGCGGCGUGCCUAAUACAUGCAAGUCGAGCGAACAGACGAGGAGCUUGCUCCUCUGACGUUAGCGGCGGACGGGUGAGUAACACGUGUUUAACCUACCUAUAAGACUGGGAUAACUUCGGGAAACCGUGGCUAAUACCGGAUAAUUUAUUGAACCGCAUUGUUCAAUAGUAAAAUUCGGUUUUUCUGUCACUUAUAGAUGGCUCCGCGCCGCAUUAGCUAGUAGUUAAGGUAACGGCUUACCAAGGCUACGAUGCGUAGCCGACCCGAGAGCGUGAUCGGCCACACUGGAACUGAGACACGGUACACACACCUACGGGAGGCAGCAGCAGGGAAUCUUACGCGAUGGACGAAAGCCUGACGGAGCAACGCCGCGUGAAUGAUGAAGGUCUUCGGAUCGGAAAACGCUGUUAUUAGGGAAGAACAAAUGUGCUAGUACCUAUGCACGUAUUGACGGUACCUAAUCAGAAAGCCCCGGCUAACUCCGUG